rnacentral:lncRNA from 1 species
AAAAUUAGGACUUUUUUCCCUUGUAACUUUUAGAGAAAUUAAGUUCUAUAUAUACAUUGGCAAAAUUUAUCCACUGAUUUAAUUAUUUAAAUCUAGGUUUAAACCUAGAUUCCUCUUCUUCUUUUUUUUCGUUUAAACCCAAAUCUGAAAAGAGAGAAAAAGUAUUACUUGUAAUUGAGAGGGCUGGGCGGAAUAACUCUUCAAUCGCUAAUUGUUUUUCGCUGGUAUGCAGAGGGAGAAGAGAUACGUGGUAGGGAGAGUAGAGAGGGGAGAGAGAAUGUGUGGAAUGGAUGAUAAGUUUUGUUUUUUAGUUUUUUAGUGAAUGUCUUAAAUGGGUCCAAUAAUUUAAUUUAAAAAGCCAGCUUGGACUGUUCGUAAAUGAACAGUCCGUUUGAGAUACUCUUCAUAUAUAUAUAUAUAUAUAUAUAUAUAUA